rnacentral:rRNA from 1 species
UACAGAGGGGGCAAGCGUUGUUCGGAAUUACUGGGCGUAAAGGGCGCGUAGGCGGCCUGUUAAGUCGAACGUGAAAUCCCCGGGCUCAACCCGGGAACUGCGUCCGAUACUGGCAGGCUUGAAUCCGGGAGAGGGAUGCGGAAUUCCAGGUGUAGCGGUGAAAUGCGUAGAUAUCUGGAGGAAUACCGGUGGCGAAGGCGGCAUCCUGGACCGGCAUUGACGCUGAGGAGCGAAAGUGUGGGGAGCGAACAGG